CCUACGGGCGGCAGCAGUGAGGAAUAUUGGUCAAUGGACGAGAGUCUGAACCAGCCAAGUAGCGUGAAGGAUGACUGCCCUAUGGGUUGUAAACUUCUUUUAUAUGGGAAUAAAAUGUUCCACGUGUGGGAUUUUGUAUGUACCAUAUGAAUAAGGAUCGGCUAACUCCGUGCCAGCAGCCGCGGUAAUACGGAGGAUCCGAGCGUUAUCCGGAUUUAUUGGGUUUAAAGGGAGCGUAGGUGGAUUGUUAAGUCAGUUGUGAAAGUUUGCGGCUCAACCGUAAAAUUGCAGUUGAAACUGGCUGUGGUGUGCACAGUAGAGGUGGGAGGAAUGAGUGGGGGAGCGGUGACAU
rnacentral:rRNA from 1 species